GGGUUGUGAGGUUAAGCGACUAAGCGUACACGGUGGAUGCCCUGGCAGUCAGAGGCGAUGAAGGACGUGCUAAUCUGCGAUAAGCGUCGGUAAGGUGAUAUGAACCGUUAUAACCGGCGAUUUCCGAAUGGGGAAACCCAGUGUGAUUCGUCACACUAUCAUUAACUGAAUCCAUAGGUUAAUGAGGCGAACCGGGGGAACUGAAACAUCUAAGUACCCCGAGGAAAAGAAAUCAACCGAGAUUCCCCCAGUAGCGGCGAGCGAACGGGGAGCAGCCCAGAGCCUGAAUCAGUGUGUGUGUUAGUGGAAGCGUCUGGAAAGGCGCGCGAUACAGGGUGACAGCCCCGUACACAAAAAUGCACAUGCUGUGAGCUCGAUGAGUAGGGCGGGACACGUGGUAUCCUGUCUGAAUAUGGGGGGACCAUCCUCCAAGGCUAAAUACUCCUGACUGACCGAUAGUGAACCAGUACCGUGAGGGAAAGGCGAAAAGAACCCCGGCGAGGGGAGUGAAAAAGAACCUGAAACCGUGUACGUACAAGCAGUGGGAGCACAGAGCAAUCUGUGUGACUGCGUACCUUUUGUAUAAUGGGUCAGCGACUUAUAUUCUGUAGCAAGGUUAACCGAAUAGGGGAGCCGAAGGGAAACCGAGUCUUAACUGGGCGUUAAGUUGCAGGGUAUAGACCCGAAACCCGGUGAUCUAGCCAUGGGCAGGUUGAAGGUUGGGUAACACUAACUGGAGGACCGAACCGACUAAUGUUGAAAAAUUAGCGGAUGACUUGUGGCUGGGGGUGAAAGGCCAAUCAAACCGGGAGAUAGCUGGUUCUCCCCGAAAGCUAUUUAGGUAGCGCCUCGUGAAUUCAUCUCCGGGGGUAGAGCACUGUUUCGGCAAGGGGGUCAUCCCGACUUACCAACCCGAUGCAAACUGCGAAUACCGGAGAAUGUUAUCACGGGAGACACACGGCGGGUGCUAACGUCCGUCGUGAAGAGGGAAACAACCCAGACCGCCAGCUAAGGUCCCAAAGUCAUGGUUAAGUGGGAAACGAUGUGGGAAGGCCCAGACAGCCAGGAUGUUGGCUUAGAAGCAGCCAUCAUUUAAAGAAAGCGUAAUAGCUCACUGGUCGAGUCGGCCUGCGCGGAAGAUGUAACGGGGCUAAACCAUGCACCGAAGCUGCGGCAGCGACGCUUAUGCGUUGUUGGGUAGGGGAGCGUUCUGUAAGCCUGUGAAGGUGUGCUGUGAGGCAUGCUGGAGGUAUCAGAAGUGCGAAUGCUGACAUAAGUAACGAUAAAGCGGGUGAAAAGCCCGCUCGCCGGAAGACCAAGGGUUCCUGUCCAACGUUAAUCGGGGCAGGGUGAGUCGACCCCUAAGGCGAGGCCGAAAGGCGUAGUCGAUGGGAAACAGGUUAAUAUUCCUGUACUUGGUGUUACUGCGAAGGGGGGACGGAGAAGGCUAUGUUGGCCGGGCGACGGUUGUCCCGGUUUAAGCGUGUAGGCUGGUUUUCCAGGCAAAUCCGGAAAAUCAAGGCUGAGGCGUGAUGACGAGGCACUACGGUGCUGAAGCAACAAAUGCCCUGCUUCCAGGAAAAGCCUCUAAGCAUCAGGUAACAUCAAAUCGUACCCCAAACCGACACAGGUGGUCAGGUAGAGAAUACCAAGGCGCUUGAGAGAACUCGGGUGAAGGAACUAGGCAAAAUGGUGCCGUAACUUCGGGAGAAGGCACGCUGAUAUGUAGGUGAAGUCCCUCGCGGAUGGAGCUGAAAUCAGUCGAAGAUACCAGCUGGCUGCAACUGUUUAUUAAAAACACAGCACUGUGCAAACACGAAAGUGGACGUAUACGGUGUGACGCCUGCCCGGUGCCGGAAGGUUAAUUGAUGGGGUCAGCGCAAGCGAAGCUCUUGAUCGAAGCCCCGGUAAACGGCGGCCGUAACUAUAACGGUCCUAAGGUAGCGAAAUUCCUUGUCGGGUAAGUUCCGACCUGCACGAAUGGCGUAAUGAUGGCCAGGCUGUCUCCACCCGAGACUCAGUGAAAUUGAACUCGCUGUGAAGAUGCAGUGUACCCGCGGCAAGACGGAAAGACCCCGUGAACCUUUACUAUAGCUUGACACUGAACAUUGAGCCUUGAUGUGUAGGAUAGGUGGGAGGCUUUGAAGUGUGGACGCCAGUCUGCAUGGAGCCGACCUUGAAAUACCACCCUUUAAUGUUUGAUGUUCUAACGUUGACCCGUAAUCCGGGUUGCGGACAGUGUCUGGUGGGUAGUUUGACUGGGGCGGUCUCCUCCUAAAGAGUAACGGAGGAGCACGAAGGUUGGCUAAUCCUGGUCGGACAUCAGGAGGUUAGUGCAAUGGCAUAAGCCAGCUUGACUGCGAGCGUGACGGCGCGAGCAGGUGCGAAAGCAGGUCAUAGUGAUCCGGUGGUUCUGAAUGGAAGGGCCAUCGCUCAACGGAUAAAAGGUACUCCGGGGAUAACAGGCUGAUACCGCCCAAGAGUUCAUAUCGACGGCGGUGUUUGGCACCUCGAUGUCGGCUCAUCACAUCCUGGGGCUGAAGUAGGUCCCAAGGGUAUGGCUGUUCGCCAUUUAAAGUGGUACGCGAGCUGGGUUUAGAACGUCGUGAGACAGUUCGGUCCCUAUCUGCCGUGGGCGCUGGAGAACUGAGGGGGGCUGCUCCUAGUACGAGAGGACCGGAGUGGACGCAUCACUGGUGUUCGGGUUGUCAUGCCAAUGGCACUGCCCGGUAGCUAAAUGCGGAAGAGAUAAGUGCUGAAAGCAUCUAAGCACGAAACUUGCCCCGAGAUGAGUUCUCCCUGACCCUUUAAGGGUCCUGAAGGAACGUUGAAGACGACGACGUUGAUAGGCCGGGUGUGUAAGCGCAGCGAUGCGUUGAGCUAACCGGUACUAAUGAACCGUGAGGCUUAACCUUACAACGCCGAAGGUGUUU
rnacentral:rRNA from 1 species